rnacentral:rRNA from 1 species
GACGAACGCUGGCGGCGUGCCUAAUACAUGCAAGUCGAACGCAGUGGGGAUGGGUGAGUAACACGUGGGUAACCUCCCAUCAGAGGGGAUAACACUUGGACACAGGUGCUAAACCGAUACUGAUGGAUGGACCCGCGGUGCAUUAGCUAGUUGGUGAGGUAACGGCUCACCAAGGCCACGAUGCAGAGCCGACCUGUGAGGUGGACCGGCCACACUGGAACUGAGACCCUGCCCAGACUCCUACGGGUGGGAGCAAUAGGGAAUCUACGGCAAUGGACGACAGUCUGUCCGAGCAACGCCUCGGGAGUGACUAAGGUUUUCGGAUCGUAAACCUUUGUUGUUAUAGAAGCGGUAUCUAACCAGAAAGCCACGGCGAACUACGUGCCGGCAGCCGCGGUAAGUC